AUUUAAUGAUUUAUAUUGCAGCAUGGAAUGCGUGCCCUGCUGGCUGAUAAAAUGGGACUUGGAAAGACUCUUCAGGUAUUAAAUCUUUUAUACUGUAAUACAUCUCAACUCAUUUCGUUGGAUUGGCUAAUGGGGAUGGGCUCAUAAUUUCCUUUGAGCUUCUGUUUUACAUGGUUGUGCAAGUUUCAGCUAUCUGUGAAAUUCGUUUCCAAAAAAUCAACAAUUACUGAACUACUUUUAUCAUGAACUACGUUGUUUAACAUUUAACGCAAGAUUUUUCAUGCUAAAGAUUGUUGUUCUGUGCUAAUUUAAUACAAGAUUUUUCAUGCUAAAAAUUUUGUUCCUUUUGUCCUGUAAAGUUUUGCAUGGGACUUGACUAUCCAUGUACCUUAUUUGAUUUAGAGGUUUUAUUGAAUAGUUGUUUUGAUUUCUAUAAUUGCUAUUUUCAAAAUGGAGAUUAGAUCUGCAAUAGUUUGGUUAUAUUGUUGAUGCAUGAUAUCCCGUCUAAAAGUAGUUAAAACUAAGGGGGAAAUUCCAAGAUGAAUUUUUUAGUAAUAUGUUAUGUUUAGGUUCAUAAUCCAUUUAGCUUUGUGAAUCCAAUAAUUAGAUGCGUCCUGCAGUGAGAGAACUUAUAUUCAGAUUCAAACUCAUUUGAGAAUAACUGCUUUUACAAUUGUAACUAAACUGUACCUUCAGGAUUUACUACUGGUUAGUUUUAAAGAUUAAAUCUGUUUGAGAUAUCAAAGUAGAAUAGUUAUAGCAGAUUAUCUCUUGGCUCUUGCGAAUGUCAAAAGAUUUUGAAGCAUGUAUUAACUUUAGUAAUUUCCUUUGGCAUGAAAACUUAGUAGAGCCCAAAAAAAAUUAAAUAUCCGAUCACAACUGCAGGCAAUUGAUGUGAGGAAAGAUUCUAGCAAGGCAGCUCUAAUCGCCGACAGUGAAAGGUCGGUGAUCUUGUGCUUGCAAAGGGUCAAAGGAUUUCAAACAUGACUAGCUAUGGUAAUCCCUUCAUUUUUACACCAAGCUUUGUUUUUGGUUUUUUUCUCCUGUUAUUGAAUUAGAAUUUAGUGUAUCAUGCUAAUUUUCUUAGAUUUUUACUGUUCUUGGGUGUUGAAGUCAAUUAUAAGGUUUCUUCAUAUCUUUUGUUAACUACGGAUCUGACUUGGAAAUCAUACAUUUCACUCUUUCAAUUUUCUUAUGAGUAGGAGCAUGUUCUUUGGAGUUGACAAUGUAAGUAAUAAUAUACGUUUCCAAUAAAAAAUUGACAAAAUGAUAUUUGGGCAUCCCAUAUAGUUUGUGUAUGAAUUCACAUCCGAGUAAUUUUUGUCUACAAUGGAACUACAAUGGUGUACAACAUAAAUUUAGGAUACUUAAAAAUAUAAAAUUAUAGGUACCACUGCUCAAGUUUGUCAUUAAAAUAGAGAACUGCUCUAAGUUUUUGAUUUGUUAUUCUUCAGGUUUAUAUUCCUUGAUGGAUCUGUCAUCUAGAUGUAGAAAACAAAUUUCUUGCUUGCAUGGGUUUAUUAGUCCGAUCUAUGUAGAUGAAAAUUAGAAGAUUUUAUUUCAUAUUUUUCAUAUCAAAAUGGAGCAUGUAGCAGAUGGUAUAAAGAUGAUUGCUAAUCACAAAGAGCUCCUGUUUUGAGGACUCUCUUUCUCUAAACCUAUCAUUCCCCUUCCUAUUCUGUUACUUAUGUAACAUCUCUGAAUUUAUUAACAACACCAUUCCCACACUGACGGAAGUGGUUGUAUUCAAAUAAACAUCUUCAUCAUAAGCUACACUUUCUUGAGUUCUGUAGCUUUUAAUGUGCUUUGACAUCUCAUUUAUUGUCUACCUGUUUUUUACUAAAUAUUGAGUCGCAAAACUAUCAAGGUGUUUAUAAUCCAGUUACCUCAAUCCAUGUUUUUUUCUUGCUGGAUCAAGUUCCAUUGUAUUUUGUAACUAAAGUUAAAUAAUAUUGUAUUGAUUAGAAAUCACGAACUUCACUUUAUUUAUGCACCACGCACUCAGUAUUUUUUUUUUUUUUUUUUUUUUCCAGUCGAUUGCAAGUAUGGCCUGUUUAGAUUUUCCUUAGGAACAUAUUCCACUUUUGGAUGUCCAUCAAUAUACGAAUUGAUGGCCUAUCUAGACUUUCCUUAGGAACAUGUUCCACUUUUGGAAAUCCGGAGGAAGAUGUAUGAUAGUGAUAGAAAUUCCACUACCAUGCUCGAAGCUUGUCCCCCAAUAGAAGUUGUAACAAUAUUUUUGGAGGCUUUUUCAAGAAAUAACUUGAGCUACAAAGAAUUAUGCAAAAGAAAACGCUCUCUUUACUGAGAUGAUGAAGAGAAUGAUUUUCUAUAUAGAAUGUAGCACUUCUGUUCAAUAAAAUGUCAGUAUAAUAAGACUGUAAACAUUUCCUGCAUUUUUUUUAAAAUUUGAUUGAUUAUAGAUAAUUUUAUCCUAAUUCUUAUUUAGUCGGUUGAUUUCUAUCUAGGAUGCCAAAGUUAUUUUUGAACCCAAAUUUGAUGAUUGUUUGUAAAUGAUACAAGGCUAUUUGUAUUGCAGUCACAGCGUGCAAGGAAAGCUGGUCACGGUGUAAUGACAGCCAAAUUUGAUCUAAAAUCCCUAUCAUAUGCACUGGUAAAACCUGAAAAAUGCUCAGACUGCUUCCUCUGUGGUUUUUUAAAAUCAUUUUUUUUUUUUUUUUUUACCUUUUACAUUGUUUAGAUUUACUCCACCUUAUUAAUGAAUCCUAUAUAUUAAUAAAUAAUUAUGGCUCCUUUCUAUGCUUAAGCUUUUAAGGGGAGGCGUUUUUUAAGCUUGCCUCUAGGGAUUGAAUGAACAAAAGACAAUUACAUAAAUGCCAACUUAAAAGUUCAGCUUAGGUCUCAAAAUCUCAAUUACGGCCUUGGUUGAGUUAUUCUGUAAAUAUGAAUGUAUGAUUAGUGAAUGUAGGAAUUUGUUGUGUUUCAUGUAAUCUAGGAUUUUGUUCUUCCUUUUGGUGUAUUAUUAUUAUAAUUUUUUUUUUUGGGGUUUUGAUCUUUCCAAGGUCGUUAACGAAGUUCUUGAUAUCAGACGAUGUCCAGGUAUCUCUCUCUCUAGCAAUCCUGAAUUCAAAAACUAUGAAUUUUCAAAUACUAACUUUUCUAUAUUGUAUGUUAAGGAAAUUCUAUCCAAAUGAGUGAUGGAGUUGGAGCUGUGUUUCUAAUGAAGAAACGUGUUACAAUGCAGAAAGGAAUUCCAAUCCUUCGUGUAUUCAGGUGCUUAUCUUAUGUAACUAUUUUUUUUUUUUUUUUUUUGUAUAUCCAUCCUAUUAAGUAGCCAACUAUACUAUAGCACGUGCGUUUCACUAGUUUUCAUAAAUAAGUGGUUUUUCUAAUAAAUAAUUUACUUGUUAAUAAAAGUAAAAAAUAAGUAACGGUUUAUAUCGAACUUUAUGGACAAGAUAUUUAGUAAAUUAGUAAUAAAAACUAAAAAAUAUGCGUGAGAUAAAUUUUUUUUUUUUUUAAAUAUAGAAUUUUAAGUAUUAAGAUUUUAAUUUGUCAGUCGUUAACCUAGUGGAUUCUUUCUAAACAAUAGAAGAACAUAGUCCCUGGCUAAAACUUCAAUUCCUGAAUCUGUUCCAUGUCCCAGCGAACUCUUUGGAACCCACAGUCCUUGGACUAAUCGAGCAUAUUCCUGCAGGACUUCCAAAACUUCUUCAACAGACUCAUCUAGAGCUAGGUGCUUUUAGAGCGUCAAAUCCAUGAUUUGGAGAACCCUGUUCCAUCAACUUCAUACAUCAAUCCCGCAAUCUGAAAUUGCUGUUUAAUCCAUGUUAUACAUGUAGACCAGAAGGAUAGAAUACAGCUUUGAGAUCAAAGUGAGUAGGAACAGACCUCAAGACGCCAAGUUUUGC
rnacentral:lncRNA from 1 species